rnacentral:miRNA from 1 species
GUCCAUUGUCCUAGUUUGCCUGGGACUGAGGGGGUUCCCAGGAUGUGGGAUUUUCAGUGCUAAAAAAGGGAA